CCUACGCGUGGCUGCAGUGAGGAAUAUUGGUCAAUGGGCGAGAGCCUGAACCAGCCAAGUCGCGUGAGGGAGUACUGCCCUAUGGGUUGUAAACCUCUUUUGUCGGGGAGCAAAAGCCGGACGUGUCCGGCCGUGAGAGUACCCGAAGAAAAAGCAUCGGCUAACUCCGUGCCAGCAGCCGUGGUAAUACGGAGGAUGCGAGCGUUAUCCGGAUUUAUUGGGUUUAAAGGGUGCGCAGGCGGAUUCUUAAGUCAGCGGGCAAAUCGUGGGGCUCAACCCCAUCCAGCCGUUGAAACUGGGGAUCUAGAGUGUGCGAGAGGUAUGCGGAAUGCGUGGUGUAGCGGUGAAAUGCAUAGAUAUCACGCAGAACCCCGAUUGCGAAGGCAGCAUACCGGUGCACAACUGACGCUCAGGCACGAAAGCGUGGGUAUCGAACAGGAUUAGAUACCCGUGUAGUC
rnacentral:rRNA from 1 species